UCUCUAUUUUAACAGCAGGUAAACAUAAGGAGUCCGAGCAGCAGAUGGAUCGUAGCCAGUUUUAUACGGCCGCCGGCG